AUUGAACGCUGGCGGCAUGCUUUACACAUGCAAGUCGAACGGUAACAGCACUUCGGUGGCUGACGAGUGGCGAACGGGUGAGUAAUACAUCGGAACGUGCCUAGUAGUGAGGGAUAACUACUCGAAAGAGUAGCUAAUACCGCAUGAGAUCUAAGGAUGAAAGCAGGGGACCUUCGGGCCUUGCGCUACUAGAGCGGCUGAUGGCAGAUUAGGUAGUUGGUGGGAUAAAAGCUUACCAAGCCGACGAUCUGUAGCUGGUCUGAGAGGACGACCAGCCACACUGGGACUGAGACACGGCCCAGACUCCUACGGGAGGCAGCAGUGGGGAAUUUUGGACAAUGGGCGCAAGCCUGAUCCAGCAAUGCCGCGUGCAGGAUGAAGGCCUUCGGGUUGUAAACUGCUUUUGUACGGAACGAAAAGCCCUCUUCUAAUACAGGAGGGUCAUGACGGUACCGUAAGAAUAAGCACCGGCUAACUACGUG
rnacentral:rRNA from 1 species